GAUGAACGCUGGCGGCGUGCCUAAUACAUGCAAGUCGAGCGAACGGACGAGAAGCUUGCUUCUCUGAUGUUAGCGGCGGACGGGUGAGUAACACGUGGAUAACCUACCUAUAAGACUGGGAUAACUUCGGGAAACCGGAGCUAAUACCGGAUAAUAUUUUGAACCGCAUGGUUCAAAAGUGAAAGACGGUCUUGCUGUCACUUAUAGAUGGAUCCGCGCUGCAUUAGCUAGUUGGUAAGGUAACGGCUUACCAAGGCAACGAUGCAUAGCCGACCUGAGAGGGUGAUCGGCCACACUGGAACUGAGACACGGUCCAGACUCCUACGGGAGGCAGCAGUAGGGAAUCUUCCGCAAUGGGCGAAAGCCUGACGGAGCAACGCCGCGUGAGUGAUGAAGGUCUUCGGAUCGUAAAACUCUGUUAUUAGGGAAGAACAUAUGUGUAAGUAACUGUGCACAUCUUGACGGUACCUAAUCAGAAAGCCACGGCUAACUACGUGCCAGCAGCCGCGGUAAUACGUAGGUGGCAAGCGUUAUCCGGAAUUAUUGGGCGUAAAGCGCGCGUAGGCGGUUUUUUAAGUCUGAUGUGAAAGCCCACGGCUCAACCGUGGAGGGUCAUUGGAAGCUGGAAAACUUGAGUGCAGAAGAGGAAAGUGGAAUUCCAUGUGUAGCGGUGAAAUGCGCAGAGAUAUGGAGGAACACCAGUGGCGAAGGCGACUUUCUGGUCUGUAACUGACGCUGAUGUGCGAAAGCGUGGGGAUCGAACAGGAUUAGAUACCCUGGUAGUCCACGCCGUAAACGAUGAGUGCUAAGUGUUAGGGGGUUUCCGCCCCUUAGUGCUGCAGCUAACGCAUUAAGCACUCCGCCUGGGGAGUACGACCGCAAGGUUGAAACUCAAAGGAAUUGACGGGGACCCGCACAAGCGGUGGAGCAUGUGGUUUAAUUCGAAGCAACGCGAAGAACCUUACCAAAUCUUGACAUCCUUUGACAACUCUAGAGAUAGAGCCUUCCCCUUCGGGGGGGCAAAGUGACAGGUGGUGCAUGGUUGUCGUCAGCUCGUGUCGUGAGAUGUUGGGUUAAGUCCCGCAACGAGCGCAACCCUUAAGCUUAGUUGCCAUCAUUAAGUUGGGCACUCUAAGUUGACUGCCGGUGACAAACCGGAGGAAGGUGGGGAUGACGUCAAAUCAUCAUGCCCCUUAUGAUUUGGGCUACACACGUGCUACAAUGGACAAUACAAAGGGCAGCGAAACCGCGAGGUCAAGCAAAUCCCAUAAAGUUGUUCUCAGUUCGGAUUGUAGUCUGCAACUCGACUACAUGAAGCUGGAAUCGCUAGUAAUCGUAGAUCAGCAUGCUACGGUGAAUACGUUCCCGGGUCU
rnacentral:rRNA from 1 species